rnacentral:rRNA from 1 species
GUGCACGCUGGCGGUCGGCCUCACACCUGCCAGUCGAACGGCAGCACCGUAAGAGCUUGCUCUUACGGGUGGCGAGUGGCGGACGGGUGAGGAAUACAUCGGAAUCUACUUUUUCGUGGGGGAUAACGUAGGGAAACUUACGCUAAUACCGCAUACGACCUACGGGUGAAAGCAGGGGAUCUUCGGACCUUGCGCGAUUGAAUGAGCCGAUGUCGGAUUAGCUAGUUGGCGGGGUAAAGGCCCACCAAGGCGACGAUCCGUAGCUGGUCUGAGAGGAUGAUCAGCCACACUGGAACUGAGACACGGUCCAGACUCCUACGGGAGGCAGCAGUGGGGAAUAUUGGACAAUGGGCGCAAGCCUGAUCCAGCCAUACCGCGUGGGUGAAGAAGGCCUUCGGGUUGUAAAGCCCUUUUGUUGGGAAAGAAAAGCAGCAGGUUAAUACCCCGCUGUUCUGACGGUACCCAAAGAAUAAGCACCGGCUAACUUCGUG